AAGGGAGACCUAGUUCAGGUAUGAGACGAAAAAAAAGUAGUCCCUACCAAGAAUCAAUCCCAAAAGGUCGGAGCGAGGCAAAAUUGGCUUUCAAACUAGGUUCUGGGUUCACACAAGACCUGAAUCAGGAACAAGGGCUAUUAGCUCAGGUGGUUAGAGCGCACCCCUGAUAAGGGUGAGGUCCCUGGUUCGAGUCCAGGAUGGCCCACCUGUACAGGUGGCAAAAAGAAAGAAAAGAAGCGAGGAAUCAGCACCUUAUCUUACUUAUAUAGUAAGAGAGAAUGCUGGCUCUGAGUUCAGAGUCCAGAGGAACCUUGAAAACUGCAUAGAGCUAGGUGAAAAAGCCAAAAAAGAAGACCGCAAGGUCAAGCUAAUAAGGGCUAACGGUGGAUACCUAGGCAC
rnacentral:tRNA from 1 species